CGCUACGGCCUAAUGCCUCCGUGAUAUUGCACCCGAUCCCUAAUGAUCUCGGAAGUGCACCGGAGGGCCCGAGUUGUCCUGGCCAGGCUUUGCUGUCGGCCGGGAACUCCGGGUGCUGUAGCGU
rnacentral:rRNA from 1 species